UUUGAUGGCUGUUCCUCUCACUA
rnacentral:miRNA from 1 species